GAAUAGCUCAGUUGGUAAAGUAUAAAACUCUUAAUCUGAGGGUUGUGGGUUCAAGCCCCAGAUUGGACA